rnacentral:rRNA from 1 species
AUGAACGCUAGCUACAGGCUUAACACAUGCAAGUCGAGGGGCAGCAUGGUCUUAGCUUGCUAAGGCCGAUGGCGACCGGCGCACGGGUGAGUAACACGUAUCCAACCUGCCGUCUACUCUUGGACAGCCUUCUGAAAGGAAGAUUAAUACAAGAUGGCAUCAUGAGUCCGCAUGUUCACAUGAUUAAAGGUAUUCCGGUAGACGAUGGGGAUGCGUUCCAUUAGAUAGUAGGCGGGGUAACGGCCCACCUAGUCUUCGAUGGAUAGGGGUUCUGAGAGGAAGGUCCCCCACAUUGGAACUGAGACACGGUCCAAACUCCUACGGGAGGCAGCAGUGAGGAAUAUUGGUCAAUGGGCGAGAGCCUGAACCAGCCAAGUAGCGUGAAGGAUGACUGCCCUAUGGGUUGUAAACUUCUUUUAUAAAGGAAUAAAGUCGGGUAUGGAUACCCGUUUGCAUGUACUUUAUGAAUAAGGAUCGGCUAACUCCGUGCCAGCAGCCGCGGUAAUACGGAGGAUCCGAGCGUUAUCCGGAUUUAUUGGGUUUAAAGGGAGCGUAGAUGGAUGUUUAAGUCAGUUGUGAAAGUUUGCGGCUCAACCGUAAAAUUGCAGUUGAUACUGGAUAUCUUGAGUGCAGUUGAGGCAGGCGGAAUUCAUAGUGUAGCGGUGAAAUGCGUAGAUAUUAGGAGGAACACCAGUGGCGAAGGCGGCUUACUGGACGGUAACUGACGUUGAGGCUCGAAAGCGUGGGGAGCAAACAGGAUUAGAUACCCUGGUAGUCCACACGGUAAACGAUGAAUACUCGCUGUUUGCGAUAUACUGCAAGCGGCCAAGCGAAAGCGUUAAGUAUUCCACCUGGGGAGUACGCCGGCAACGGUGAAACUCAAAGGAAUUGACGGGGGCCCGCACAAGCGGAGGAACAUGUGGUUUAAUUCGAUGAUACGCGAGGAACCUUACCCGGGCUUAAAUUGCAGAUGAAUUACGGUGAAAGCCGUAAGCCGCAAGGCAUCUGUGAAGGUGCUGCAUGGUUGUCGUCAGCUCGUGCCGUGAGGUGUCGGCUUAAGUGCCAUAACGAGCGCAACCCUUGUUGUCAGUUACUAACAGGUUCCGCUGAGGACUCUGACAAGACUGCCAUCGUAAGAUGUGAGGAAGGUGGGGAUGACGUCAAAUCAGCACGGCCCUUACGUCCGGGGCUACACACGUGUUACAAUGGGGGGUACAGAGGGCCGCUACCACGCGAGUGGAUGCCAAUCCCCAAAACCUCUCUCAGUUCGGACUGGAGUCUGCAACCCGACUCCACGAAGCUGGAUUCGCUAGUAAUCGCGCAUCAGCCACGGCGCGGUGAAUACGUUCCCGGGCCUUGUACACACCGCCCGUCAAGCCAUGGGAGCCGGGGGUACCUGAAGUGCGUAACCGCGAGGAGCGCCCUAGGGUAAAACUGGUGACUGGGGCU